rnacentral:rRNA from 1 species
CGGAAUGGAUAACCGCUGAAAGCAUCUAAGCGGGAAGCCAACUCCAAGAUGAGGAUUCCCCGAAGGCCCGUCGUAGACUACGACGUUGAUAGGUCGGAUGUGGAAGCGUUGUAAGACGCGAAGCUAACCGAUACUAAUAGGCCGUUCGGCUUGGCCAC